GGGGAAUAUUGGACAAUGGGGGCAACCCUGAUCCAGCAAUGCCGCGUGUGUGAAGAAGGUCUUCGGAUUGUAAAGCACUUUCGACGGGGACGAUGAUGACGGUACCCGUAGAAGAAGCCCCGGCUAACUUCGUGCCAGCAGCCGCGGUAAUACGAAGGGGGCUAGCGUUGCUCGGAAUGACUGGGCGUAAAGGGCGUGUAGGCGGUUUACACAGUCAGAUGUGAAAUCCCCGGGCUUAACCUGGGAGCUGCAUUUGAUACGUGUAGACUAGAGUGUGAGAGAGGGUUUGUGGAAUU
rnacentral:rRNA from 1 species